UACGUAGGGUGCGAGCGUUAAUCGGAAUUACUGGGCGUAAAGCGUGCGCAGGCGGUUAUAUAAGACAGGUUUGAAAUCCCCGGGCUCAACCUGGGAAUUGCAUCUGUGACUGUAUAGCUAGAGUACGGUAGAGGGGGAUGGAAUUCCGCGUGUAGCAGUGAAAUGCGUAGAUAUGCGGAGGAACACCGAUGGCGAAGGCAAUCCCCUGGACCUGUACUGACGCUCAUGCACGAAAGCGUGGGGAGCAAACAGG
rnacentral:rRNA from 1 species